rnacentral:rRNA from 1 species
GACGAACGCUGGCGGCGUGCCUAAUACAUGCAAGUCGAACGCUGAAGGAGGAGCUUGCUUCUCUGGAUGAUUUGCGAACGGGUGAGUAACGCGUAUGUAACCUGCCUGGUUGCGGGGGAUAACUAUUGGAAACGAUAGCUAAUACCGCAUAAGAUUUGAUGUUGCAUGACAUUUACUUGAAAGGUGCAAUUUCAUUACUACUAGUUGGUCCUUCGUUGUAUUAUUAGUUUGGUGAGGGAAUGGCUCACCAAGGCAACGAUACUUAGCCGGCCAGCGAGGGGGGGCGGCCACAAUGGGAAUGAGACAAGGGACAAAAGCCUACGGGAGGCAGCAGUAGGGGAAAUUCGGGAAAGGAGGGAAGACUGACCGAGGAACGCCGCGGGAGGGAAGAAGGGUUUCGGAACGGAAAGCUCUGUUGUAAGAGAAGAAAGAGAGUGAGAGUGGAAAGUUCACACUGUGACGGUAUCUUACCAGAAAGGGACGGCUAACUACGUG